rnacentral:rRNA from 1 species
UACAGGGGGUGCAAACGUUGCUCGGAAUUAUUGGGCGUAAAGCGCGCGUAGGCGGCCACUUAAGUCGGAUGUGAAAGCCCCUGGCUCAACUGGGGAAGUGCACCCGAAACUGAAUGGCUUGAAUGCAAAAGAGGGUCGCGGAAUUCCCGGUGUAGAGGUGAAAUUCGUAGAUAUCAGGAGGAACACCGGUGGCGAAGGCGGCACUCUGGGCCGGUACUGACGCUGAGGAGCGAAAGCGUGGGGAGCGAACAGG